UCCCCGAUAGCUCAGUUGGUAGAGCGGCGAGCUGUUAACUCGCAUGUCACUGGUUCGAGUCCAGUUCGGGGAG
rnacentral:tRNA from 1 species